rnacentral:lncRNA from 1 species
GCCUAUCCCAGCAACAAUUUCUUGCUACUUCUAAUAUAAUGAGAUGACUCUAGGUAAUACAAAAUUUUCUAUUUUAUUUUUCUAUUUUAUUUUGCAUGCUCUUGAUAUGAUGCCUAUCUUAACCAUACAGCCCUGGAAAGAAUCCAAAUCAUAUGGAGCUUGACUCUGGAGAAAGUGUUAACAACAGGGUCAUACAAGAGGGAAGAUCAUCUUGGGUCCCUUGAACCGAUCUCCAAGGGGAUCAGUCUCAGUUCUCUGACCAGAGAGAGAGAGAGAGAAUACAUUAACGUCAUGUGUCAAAGGAUAUUAAUUUCUGCGAUGACAUUAGGACAUGUCAAUGGACACAAGAGGAUGAAGGGAAACUCUCUUUAUCCGAGAGGAAGCUGUGGGCAUUGCUAUUUCCCUGGCUGGAAAGUGUGCAGUUAAUGACAGGUUGGGUCUAAGACAACAAAUGCAGUAAAAAAUGCCUUAUGUGCCCAAAGGAAAUUUAUAGGGAAAUGUGUUAAUGUACUAAUGAGAUUCAUCUGUAGUUGACAUAUCAAAGAUAAAUGUCAACUUAUCUAUUUGUUAAUGGAUCUAUUAAAAGCUAUGUUUGU